rnacentral:rRNA from 1 species
CUGCUGCCUUCCGUAGGAGUUUGGGCCGUGUCUCAGUCCCAAUGUGGCCGUUCACCCUCUCAGGCCGGCUACUGAUCGUCGCCUUGGUGGGCUUCUACCCCGCCAACCAGCUAAUCAGACGCGGAUCCAUCUUACACCACCGGAGUUUUUCACACUGAGCCAUGCGGCUCUGUGCGCUUAUGCGGUAUUAGCACCUAUUUCUAAGUGUUAUCCCCCAGUGCAAGGCAGGUUAUCCACGCGUUACU